UACACUCAAUAAUAUGAUGUUACACUUUUGAGAUUUCCAAGAAUUAUACACGAGACAGGACACAAUACACCAGUUUCUUAUACGUCCUCUUCUCUUAGUCAUACGUACAGGUAUGUUCAUUUUUUUUUUAAUAACAUAGAACGAGGAUUAACAUAGAGAAAGAAAGAGAGAGAAUCAUUCGUCAUGUAAAUAGACAUUCGACUGUGGAUUUCCAGGAAACAACUUCCAAGAGCAAAAUAAAAACACUCGAGCGUUCGAACUCUGUCAAGGUCGGGAAAGAAAUCUUCUUCAUUCAUAUAACAGUAUCUCGACGAGUACAGAUCUAUCUGCGUAGGAAAAGCAACUAUUCAUUUCGUUUAAAUUAUAUUUCUUGACCGAAUAUUUUUACUUUAACUUUCUAACGUAAUAUUUCAUAUUAUAGAAAGAUCAUCAUUGUAUAUUAUCUAGUAUAGGAAUUUGUAUAAUUUCAUAAGUUAGUCGUCAUCGAGAGUACUGAUACAAUUUAAUCGUUUUAUUUAACUAAAUUAAUAAUACUUGAAAGUAAUAAUUAAAUGUCGGUAUGCAGAAACUUCCAAGUGGUGAAAACUGAGAAAUUGAUAUUGCUUGAGUACUUAUCAAGUCAAUGAUUAUAUAAAGCUACAUCUUAAAAAUACUCAGCUUUCAAUAAUUUUGAUUAGAUCAAACUUAAUCUAUUCAUUCGAAAUAAUACUUUAGAAUAUAAUAUGUUUUCAAUGAGUUACUUUCAGAAAUGUUUCGUUAAAAGUGAUAUUUAUUUUUGUCGUAUUAUCUUUUGUAUGUUUCAGCCAUUUCGAAGUUAUGUCAAUCGUUAUUUCGACUAUUCGUAAGAUCGUUUUAGAGUCGGUGUUUUCUCGUAAUACAUUUAUAUAUUUGUUACAUUAAUCGAUUAAAAUCAAAUUUGAUGCAAUAUAGAAAUUCGCGAAGUAGAGUCAGUGUUAGUGCAUCGUUAUUCGUCAUCGUCCGAAAUAAAGGAUCGACUCUGAUCGUUGAAUAAGCAAUCGUGAGGAUGGUAAUGAAGUGUUAUUAAUAAGUGUUAUUAAUAAGUGUUAUUAAUAAGUGUUAUUUCGUUUAGAUAAAAUCAAAAUCGCGAGUUAGAAAUAUCGUUCUAAAGUGAUUUCAACAAGGAAUGUUAAAAAAACAAGUGUAUUUCGAUCGACUGCGAGCAAAGCAGUCAAUGAACGUUAGAAUUUUCUCUUACAAAAGUUAUAUUUGUAUUUUGAAACAAUCGUAUAUAUAUUGUUCGCGUAUUAAAGUCAGUGCGUCAUUGAAGAUGAAGGAGAAAUUACAAGUUUUCUACAGAAAAAUUAUUGAUCAUCAUCAUCAUCGUCAUCAUCAUCAUCGUGAUUAUCAUCAUCUGUAAUCUUGUCUUGUCGGUCUACUGCAACUAUGUUGACAUAAUUCAUGUUCAAUCUACCUUGGGAACAAUCUACCUCAUUUUCAACUACCUACGGACCAACCUCUAUCAAUUUCAACCUACAUAUCUUCGUGGACGUGUGUUUUGGAGCCAUCGCAGAACUUCUUAAGUAGUGAGUGAAGACAUUUUUUUAUUUAUAUAUAUAUAUUAUUAUUAUUAAUAUCGUUUCUUA